UGUAUGUAUUAAUUUUGAUUAAGAGUGUCACUUUAAUGCUUAUUACAGGUAGUAUUGAUUUUGACGGCAACCAUUUUGAACCUGAUACGUUGUAAAUGAUACGGUCUAUCGGAUAUGUCUAUUUGAAUCGAAAGAAGUCUGUUUGAAAACCAAAGAGAAGCAAAGAGUUUUAAUAUUUGUUUGCUGAGAAGGAAAUCAUAACUUGUUUCGGGCUGUAAAAAGCGAGACCGAGUUUAUUAUGGAAAAUAGCGGAGGAGGCGAUACAAGUGGUGGAGGCGAUACAAAAGGUGGAGACUAUACUGGAGGCGGUAAAGGCACUGGAACAACAAAGGAAGGGGAAAAGGAUAAUGCCACUAAGUUCAUACGUGUCAGACCCAUUCUAAUGGACCUGCUUCUAGGCACGAAGACCGGUAAAUCUAAUGACUUCAUGUGGCAAUGAAAGGGUUCCUCUUUAUACAGGACCAUUGAUCUACAGAAAAUAAAAACGAAAUUUGAACGCCAAACAGACAAUAGAUUUUAAAUAUAAAUAAGUAUCUACUAUCAAGACUACAUCGUGUUAACCUCUGUAAUUAAUUUGAGAAAAUAAACUCAAUUGUUUUAAUUGCUUUUGUCGGUUAUUUUACUGAACAAUAAGUAACGUUAAAUUUGGCACGCAUGUCAUCAUCACGCCUCCAGCCAAUAUUAAGGUUUUACCAUAUGUUCGCUGUUCAAAUUUUGAAGAAUUGAAUCUUUUUAAACCGAUUAAAAUUUUACAAAGUUCCUUGUAAUUAUUAUGUUGCAUUUAAAUUAGUAAAUCUUUCCGGUACCAUUAUGCAAUAGUUUUGCUGUACAUUUAAACUGCUUAUGUAUAUUCGUGUAAAAACUCUGUUAUCUACAAAAAAGGAUGCUAGUUGGAAGUUAAGGUCUAUUUUUGAAUGAAAUGCUAAUGUUUUUACCUCUUUAUUUUGUAAUAAAUAUCGGUCAGAAACAUUGUUGACACAAUUACUUCAGUAAAAAAACCGUUGCUUUUCCUGCGAUUAUGAUCAAGUUGGCAAUCUAUACAUCUGUGACCGAAAAUCGUCGAUGGUUUUCGUAAAAUCAAAACACACUGAAAUCUCUACUAACAUCAAAAAGUGAAAUAAAUCAGCAUUCUGCUCACGAUUGCCUUAGUGAAGUGUCAAAUUUGUGGUAGCAGAUGAAUCUUGCUCAGCUAAACUUUAUGUUUAACUGAAAUUAUUUAACAAUAGGAGGAAAUCAAAAGGGACAUGACAUGCAUAGUUUUUAAUCCCAUGUUUUAUUUCCUUUGUUGAACAUUUGUUGAAGGUUAUUUAUUGAUAAAUUUGUAGUAGGUUACAUGAUUGAGGGUUACAAGGCUUGAUUUCGAAAUCGUAUACAGAAGCAAACAUGUGUCUUGUUGUACGGAAACUUUGGUGCAAAGAAUAUAAGCAUUGAAUAAACUACAUUGCUUGAUAAUCGUAUUAUUCGACUUCGAAAGGAAUUCUUUCAAAGAUAAAUGCCUUAUGAUUGUAUACCGACCACGCUCCAUAUGUUUUUAGGAUUAUGAAUUGAAAUAUAUGUGCAUUGAUUAUAAUUUUUUAUAGAUGAAUGGAACAAAACUUAAAAAUGCACUAUUACACCAAAUAAGAUGUACAGCAUUGUUUUCAAAUACGAGUGUCACUUAAACUGCAGCGUAAUGUUCUUUUCCAGUGCAUUACUAAGAGUUAUUCCAAUAUAGCUAUUUUAAACUAAUAUUUGGGUUAAAAACGCUAAACAAAUAUAGAUUCUAUUACGGAACGACAUACUAAUUUGAGUUUACAAACCGAAGCCGCUAGUUUCAAAGUUUCCGAAAUAAAGUCCCUUGAAUGUAUGUUUUUUGGAACAAAUGUUAACCAGAAUAUUGACGUUCUGUAAGCUAAUGUGAAAGUUUGAUAUGAACAUAAUUUCGUUUGUUGUAUAUUGUUUGUUGAUUGUUCUUUUACAGUAUAACUCAUUAAAGGACUUGCAACUGUCAGAGAAUAGUUUAAAUAGAAACAAAUGUGAUAAAAUACCUCCACGCGCACGUCUUUUGAUUGUUUUUUUUUGUGAGAUGCAUGUAUGUCUUUUGAAGCGUCGUACUUCUCUAUAAUUUAUGUGUUGGAACAUGUGCUUAUGAGUGUAAUUGUCUUAGUUUGAUACUUAGUAAAGAUUUCAUUUUA